AGGGAGAGAGAGAUGAAGCGGGCGGUGAGGGGGAUUAAACACAUUCAACUCCUUGACCACAACCCAGAGACACCUGUUUUUUCAUUUGAUUUGACGUCGUUUUCUUUUUCAUCUUAACCCAGUCUGCCAGCAUGAUAAACCCUCUGAUCAUCGCCAUCAUGACCGUAAACACGUCUAUGACGAUCUUUUACUGGGCCUUCGUCCUGAGCGACUUUUACACAAAGUGGAUGGCAGAGCCAGAGGACAAACCCAAGAAGAUAGUCACUCCAGCCUGAGGGGCAAAGCAUGGAUCUACCUGACUGAGUGACUGGCUACUUAGGUCUAGUCUGUUAGGGCAGUUCAGCUUGUAGCGCUUUCUGUGGAGAAGCAUUUGCUCUGAGUUAUGUUUCUUUUUUCUUUUUGUAUCUGAGGAAAAAGUUUUUUUUUUCAAUUGUUCCUGCAACUAAAUGAGGCAGGAGUCGCACUUACAGAGCUUCCACUGUAGAGCUUAUGCCUGUCUGGAACCCAUUUUACACCCAAAUCAAAGUAAAAAGACAAGCAGCGGUCCUUUCUCCUGACCACUGACUGGAUCUUUGGCCCUAAACCAGUAGAGGAGGAUACAGUGGAAGAGGGGUCCGAAAUAGAGGAGGAGCGGCGGCUCAGCAUUUUAAGUAACCAGAUGCGAUCAGGACACGAGCUGAGGAUGGAGAAAGAAAGAGAAAUGCUGCUGCCAGGCUUCCACCAGGGAGACGGAGGCUGCCAUCAACCAUUUCCCCCUCUUCCACUGAGAAGUGCCAUCACUUCAUCUUACCCCGGAGAAAAAAGGAUGUCUACUCAUAGUGUGACCUUCGCCUGCCCCAUUGGCCCUUGCGUCACCUCUCUUUGAGUUUUCAUCCCGUCAUCUCAGCAGCAGCUUAGUUCAGUUUUUAUCACAUGCAGGAUGCUUUUGCAGUAUUUUGUUUGCAGUAGUCAAGCAAAAGCAUGUAGUUAUAGCUUGUGAUGAUUUUAAUAGAAAAUGCUGUCUUUUAUUUUGAUUAUUAAGUAGGUAGGUCAACACAAUUCAUGUCCACUAACUUAUCUACAUCAUGAUAUCAUGUAAUAUAAGAAGUGUAAAAUGAAAGUUUAUCAUGUGAAAAUAAAUUUAUUUCAUAUGUAAAUCCCAUGUUCAUCACAAAGUGUUUAACAAUCAUUUGUUAAGAAAUCAAAUGGAAAAUUAUGAAAAAUCUUUUAAUUUAUCACAUCACGUAUUUUGUUCUCUUCAAUUGCUGUAAACCAGUGAGAUCACUUCGUCUGUUCAGGUGGACCAAGCUUUGUCCAAGUAAACAACCUAAUAAUACAAAUGA